rnacentral:rRNA from 1 species
CCUACGGGCGGCAGCAGUGGGGAAUAUUGGACAAUGGGCGAAAGCCUGAUCCAGCCAUGCCGCGUGUGUGAAGAAGGCCUUCGGGUUGUAAAGCACUUUCAGUGGGGAAGAAAGCCUUGGGGCUAAUACCCUCGAGGAAGGACAUCACCCACAGAAGUAGCACCGGCUAACUCCGUGCCAGCAGCCGCGGUAAUACGGAGGGUGCGAGCGUUAAUCGGAAUUACUGGGCGUAAAGCGCGCGUAGGCGGUCUGAUAAGCCGGUUGUGAAAGCCCCGGGCUCAACCUGGGAACGGCAUCCGGAACUGUCAGGCUAGAGUGCAGGAGAGGAAGGUAGAAUUCCCGGUGUAGCGGUGAAAUGCGUAGAGAUCGGGAGGAAUACCAGUGGCGAAGGCGGCCUUCUGGACUGACACUGACGCUGAGGUGCGAAAGCGUGGGUAGCAAACAGGAUUAGAUACCCGGGUAGUC